CCUACGGGUGGCAGCAGUGGGGAAUAUUGGACAAUGGGGGGAACCCUGAUCCAGCGACGCCGCGUGAGUGAAGAAGUAUUUCGGUAUGUAAAGCUCUAUCAGCAGGUAAGAAAAUGACGGUACCUGACUACGAAGCCCCGGCUAACUACGUGCCAGCAGCCCCGGUAAUACGUAGGGGGCAAGCGUUAUCCGGAUUUACUGGGUGUAAAGGGAGCGUAGACGGCAGCGCAAGUCUGGAGUGAAAGGCCGGGGUCCAACCCCCGGACUGCUCUGGAAACUGUGGAGCGGGAGUGCAGGAGAGGUAAGCGGAAUUCCGGGUGUAGCGGUGAAAUGCUUAGAUAUCAGGCGGAACACCAGUGGCGAAGGCGGCUUACUGGCC
rnacentral:rRNA from 1 species